AAAAGUAACUGCGGUUUUUGA
rnacentral:miRNA from 1 species